rnacentral:misc_RNA from 1 species
AAAAAAAAAGAGGAGAAACAGAUGCUUCUGAUUGUUUUUUAGUGCAUUUUCAUAAAAUCUUCUAAAUGUUUAAUUCUCAUAGAAUAAAAGGGAGAGUAUACGUUUGAAUCUCAGCAGAUUUUAUUAAUUCUUUGAAACCAUAAAUACAAUAUGAGUAUUACAUCAAUUUUAGUUCAUACAUGUAACAACAUAUUAUUCUGCACGUAACAAUGAGUUCUGGGGCUUGAAACACUCGAGAUUAGAAAUUUUGAUUAAUAUUUCACAUUACGACUGGACGCUUGUUCUAAUAUCUUUUGUACGAGAUACACUAUACAUACACAAGAUCAAAAUGGAAUUUCGAAACGGUCGUAUCGUUCAACAAAAAUCUCUUUUAUCUUUGAUUCUCUUCAUAAAAAUGCAAUUCUCCUUUACAGAAC